AGAGUUUGAUCCUGGCUCAGGACGAACGCUGGCGGCGUGCGUAAUACAUGCAAGUCGAGCGAGCUUGCCUAGAUGAUUUUAGUGCUUGCACUAAAUGAAACUAGAUACAAGCGAGCGGCGGACGGGUGAGUAACACGUGGGUAACCUGCCCAAGAGACUGGGAUAACACCUGGAAACAGAUGCUAAUACCGGAUAACAACACUAGACGCAUGUCUAGAGUUUGAAAGAUGGUUCUGCUAUCACUCUUGGAUGGACCUGCGGUGCAUUAGCUAGUUGGUAAGGUAACGGCUUACCAAGGCAAUGAUGCAUAGCCGAGUUGAGAGACUGAUCGGCCACAUUGGGACUGAGACACGGCCCAAACUCCUACGGGAGGCAGCAGUAGGGAAUCUUCCACAAUGGACGAAAGUCUGAUGGAGCAACGCCGCGUGAGUGAAGAAGGGUUUCGGCUCGUAAAGCUCUGUUGGUAGUGAAGAAAGAUAGAGGUAGUAACUGGCCUUUAUUUGACGGUAAUUACUUAGAAAGUCACGGCUAACUACGUGCCAGCAGCCGCGGUAAUACGUAGGUGGCAAGCGUUGUCCGGAUUUAUUGGGCGUAAAGCGAGUGCAGGCGGUUCAAUAAGUCUGAUGUGAAAGCCUUCGGCUCAACCGGAGAAUUGCAUCAGAAACUGUUGAACUUGAGUGCAGAAGAGGAGAGUGGAACUCCAUGUGUAGCGGUGGAAUGCGUAGAUAUAUGGAAGAACACCAGUGGCGAAGGCGGCUCUCUGGUCUGCAACUGACGCUGAGGCUCGAAAGCAUGGGUAGCGAACAGGAUUAGAUACCCUGGUAGUCCAUGCCGUAAACGAUGAGUGCUAAGUGUUGGGAGGUUUCCGCCUCUCAGUGCUGCAGCU
rnacentral:rRNA from 1 species